GUCCUUCUCUCCCCUCUCUCCUCUCCCCUCUCUGUCCUUCUCUCUCCUCUGGACAGGGGAUAGGGCCGGGCCCACAGGACUGAGAGCCCGACCCCUGCGGGGAUCCUGCAGAGAGAUCCCAGUGUCCCGGUCGGCUGGGGAUCGGUCCGGUGGGAGAGGUGACUCCGAGUCCCCGCGGGAGCGACUGGCGCCGGGAAGAGAGGUUACUCUACAGAUCUGAGGAUGAGGAUGGUGUGUUAAUGUGAAGAUACAGAGGAGCUGGACUGAGUGUCUCUACAGUUACUCUACAGAUCUGAGGAUGAGGAUGGUGUGUUAAUGUGAAGAUACAGAGGAGCUGGACUUAGUGUCUCUACAGUUACUCUACAGAUCUGAGGAUGAGGAUGGAGUGUUAAUGUGAAGAUACAGAGGAGCUGGGCUGAGUGUCUCUACAGUUACUCUACAGAUCUGAGGAUGAGGAUGAGCUCUGACGAGGGGCCUCAGUGUGUCCACCCAGCCAGCAGGGGGCAGCGCAGCCCUGCUCGACUGGCACUCGCUGGCUGUAACAGCAACUCCAUGUGGAAGAGCUGUGGUUCCAGUGGAGCUGCUGUUACCUGCAGAGAGGAGCCCCUGUGCAGCAGACCGCAGGACCGGCCACCCUCCUCCUGGCCCCCGGAGGGGCACGGGGGGCCACGAGCCCGCAGGGCCAGGGGCGCAGGACGAUGACCUAUGAAUUGACAGCCAGUGUUGUAUGGCGCCUGCCUGUCAGUUCUAUAGGCCACAGGCCUGCGGCCUCACUCCUGGACGCUCGGACAGCCCGACCACCCCCUUCGCUCCGAGAGAUGCAGACAGAUGUGGGGAACUGGGAUUAGUGGGAUAAUAAAAGCCACAAGGCCUUUGGAAUCUG